UUCUAUAACAAUAAUCAAUAAAAAAAUUGAAUGAAAAGAAUCAAUAAAAAAAAUAAUAAUGCAGGUUUUUGCUUUCUAAACCAUAUCAGAUUGUCUAUUAAUCAUAAUAAGUUAGAAGUGAAGACAUUACUUUUCUCCCUCUUAAAAAAAACGCUUCUCUCUCUCUGCAUUCUCCAAAUACAACCUUCUUUAACCAUAACUAACCAUUCAUUCCAAAGGAGUCCAAGUGCCUCUAAGUUUUCUAUUCC
rnacentral:lncRNA from 1 species